UUCGCCCAAUCUCUACAUGGUAUCAGAGUGGCGAUUCUUGAAGCCCGUCUCUCACGUCUCUCUUUGGCCUUCUCACUUGAACCAACAAUCACAGAAACUGCGACAAUAUCUACCUUCUUUGCCUCGGGAACUAGCCCACGAAGCGUGUCAAAAUGCGCGUUGAUCCUCACUCUCCGCCAUCUCUCCAACUCACUGUGAUUCUUCAGGGCACCAAUUGACCCCCUUGGCGCCGUUUUCCUCUUGGCGCUCACCAAUUUGGAAGUCCGAUUUGAUCCUCGCUAAUCCCCUUGCCCCCGACGAAAGCCCCAACACAGACGGGAUCCACAUAGGCGACUUGUCCCGCAUCAAAAUCACUUACUCCAAGAUCAAGGUUCAGUGGACAGCAAGAACUUCCACUUCAAUGUCUUCUCCUGCCACAAUCUCGAAUUCUAACGCAUGUGGAUGAUUCCCCCCUGAUUUGGAAGUCCCCCUAAUUCACAAAUUUGGAAGUCCUCAGGAAUGUUAAUCCCAAAGUUGACCCGAGGAUCAUCGCUCAAGACCUCAUCCGAGUCGUUCAUUCUCUAACUUUUUGGCUGCAAGUAAUCAUGGCAACCGAGUCUCAAAAUUCUUCAACUACCGUUCCUGCACAUGAGCAGGUGGGCAACCCUUUUUUUUUUUUUACAUCAUUCUGAUAACCCAAGAUCUAAUCUCGUUGGCAUGGUCCUUACGGGUCACAAUUACAACAAUUGGUCUCAUGUCAUGGAGAUUGCCCUUUCCGCCAAGAACAAGAUGAUGUUUGUUACUGGAGAAAUAAAAAAGCCAGUUGCAAUAGAUCCUGCCUAUGCGUCUUGGAUUCGUGUGAACAAUAUGAUGAGGGGUGUUCCAUUGCAAUAUUGGCUAUCGCCCGGUCUCUUAGAAUGUUAUAGCCAUUUUUUACUAUAAAAGACCCAUCCUUAGUUCCUAUCCAAAUCAAUUUACCAUUUGCAAGUUGAUGGUUGAUUGGAAUUGCAAGGAUCUCCUAAAUGGUCUGUUCAUCAAAGAGGUUGUUUAACAAUGUUUCAUUCCAUUGUUGUGCUUCAAAGUUCAAUACUCAUAAACUUGUUGUAGAUCAUUUCUGUUUGGUGGCCCUCCAAUUAGUCCUCUCUUCAACAAUUUAUCUGUUCUAAUGUUGACAUUUCGACCAUUUCCAAUCGACCAUCUCACUGAAUCCGUUAUGGCCUCUCUUCCAAGAACUAAACUUUGCCAACCCCAUGAAGGCUUAGUACCUUUAUUAGCAUGCCAAAAAUCCUUUCAACAGAAAUAAAGCCAUUUUAAUAAUUUACUCCACAAAGCAUCCGGAUUCUUAACCAACCUCCAAGCUUGUUUACCCAGGAGGGCCUUGUUUAUAGUAAGAAUGUCUCUAAAACCCAUUCCUCCAAUGUCGUUUCUUAUUUUCAUGAUUUCCCAUUUCUUCCAAUGUAGACCAGCUUUUGUUUCACUAUUUUUUCACUAGAAAUUAGCUAUUGUCUUCUCUAUAGCCUUACAAACUGAUACUGGGAUUUUGAAAACUGACAUGGCAUAUUGAGAUAACGCUUGUACCACUGAUUUCAGGAGAAUUUUCUUGUCUGCUUUAAAUAUAAUUUGUUCCUUCCAGCCUUCCAAUUUCAUAUUUACCCUAUUUAAAAUCCAUGCAAACAUCCUUCAGAAGGCAGCUUUUAAGGUUAAUGAACUUUUUUUCUUUCUAAAUUGCCCCCACUAAUAUUUAUAUAUUCCAAUCUUGCCCUACCUUGUGACUGUUCAUCUUGUCUAACUGUUGAAGUUCUACUAUGCUUAGGUCUCCACUGAAGGUUGCCAUGCUUGGGUCUUUGCCUAGUUCAUCUUCUUGGACAUCAAGCUCGCUCUUGACUAUUAGGUGAGAUCUUGAGGUCACGCAUCGCUCAUGGUUGAGAGUUGACAGUUGUUGAUGGUCAAGCGUUUGACGUGACCUCAGCACAGCCCCACUGAGGUUGCAUGAUCUCAAAGCCCUCUCCUAGGCUCGCAGUGGCCCUUCUAGCCCUUGCUUGAGCCCUUGUAGAUGAUGAACAGUAGCUCCUUUAAUUUUUCCUUUAAAAAAAAACUUUUAAGUUAUUUUGCCAAAAACUAUACCAAAAAUCAACAACCAAAUAAAAUAUACCUUAAGCCAAAGAUCUUUGAAGAAAUGAAGGUCAAUCAAAUGCAGCUUAGCUCCUUUAGACCUAUCACAUGGCAUGAGGCACCCGAGUUUGCAAGGAUUGCUCUCUUAUCUCCAUACUUCAUUUCCGACUCAGUCCAAUUGAGCUUGUUCACUAUGUGCAAUCUUCCAAAUUCGCUUUUUAUUUCCAAAUCCAUUAAUGUCAUUCCAUAAUCAUCUUGUCUUGUUUUUUCUUUUCA
rnacentral:lncRNA from 1 species